rnacentral:lncRNA from 1 species
GAAGCCCAACCUGCUGAGCGAGGGAACAAAGAAAGACUCCAUUUGCCUGUGGGAGUGGAGUGAGUGAGGGAAGGAGCUGCCUCCUCCACUCAAAGAAGCCUCUUUUAAAAGUUCCUCGCCAGCGUUUCCGAGGUUGGCCCUUAUCACCACGCUCGUGAAAGCAUUUUUUCUGCCAGCCCCUGAGGGUGCUAGUGGUCUGUGGACCGCACACCAUAGACUCACUUCCACGGUGUAGCCCUUUGGAGCCCCAGCCCAGGACCUGGGGGAGGAGGUCAGCACUGCCAACCUGGUAGGUACUAGACUUUGAUUUUUUUUUUUUAAAGAUUUUAUUUAUUUAUUCGACAGAGAGAGAGACAGCCAGUGAGAGAGGGAACACAAGCAGGGGGAGUGGGAG